rnacentral:rRNA from 1 species
AUACGUAGGGGGCGAGCGUUGUCCGGAAUGAUUGGGCGUAAAGGGCGCGUAGGCGGCCCGGUAAGUCUGGAGUGAAAGUCCUGUUUUUAAGAUGGGAAUUGCUUUGGAUACUGUCGGGCUUGAGUGCGGGAGAGGUAAGUGGAAUUCCCAGUGUAGCGGUGAAAUGCGUAGAGAUUGGGAGGAACACCAGUGGCGAAGGCGACUUACUGGACUGUAACUGACGCUGAGGCGCGAAAGUGUGGGGAGCAAACAGGAUUAGAUGCCCUGGUAGUCCACACUGUAAACGAUGAAUGCUAGGUGUAGGGGGUAUCGACCCCUUCUGUGCCGCAGUCAACACAAUAAGCAUUCCGCCUGGGGAGUACGGCCGCAAGGUUGAAACUCAAAGGAAUUGACGGGG